UGUUGAUUUCAAAUUACUUAC
rnacentral:piRNA from 1 species